rnacentral:rRNA from 1 species
UACGUAGGGACCAAGCGUUGUUCGGAUUUACUGGGCGUAAAGGGCGCGUAGGCGGCGCGGUAAGUCACUUGUGAAAUCUCUGAGCUUAACUCAGAACGGCCAAGUGAUACUGCAGUGCUAGAGUGUGGAAGGGGCAAUCGGAAUUCUUGGUGUAGCGGUGAAAUGCGUAGAUAUCAGGAGGAACACCUAUUGCGAAGGCAGCUCGCUGGGACGUUACUGACGCUGAGACGCGAAAGCGUGGGGAGCAAACAGG